ensembl:lncRNA
GCUUGAAGAGGCCUCAAGUCACCCUCAUGCGCAGGAAAAGGAUGAAACGCACAAAAGUAGCAAAGGCCACGUAAGCGAACCUGUAGUCAUAUGCCGCAUUUCACUUGAGUUGCUGCCACAGAGAGAAGCUCCAUCUGCGGUCAACAUGAAUGCAGAUCCAGAAACAGAGAAAGCAUCUCAGUCGUCUCUGCCAAACAUACGAACUAAACGCCAAAGCAGAAGCAGAAGAGGCUCAGAGUUUGUUGUGAAUAUGAUGGAUCUACCACAAAGAACCAGACCCCCCGACUAAGAUCCAGAGCCUCCCAGUGACAUUUGUUCAUCUUUCUCUUAAAUACACUUCUGUCAUGCUUCAAUUCACUACACAGCGUGUGACAGCACAUUAUUGCUAUUGCCUUUGGUUGACAGUGCUUUCCUUUCCUGUGUUCCUGUGUUCAGAGACAAUCCUCUGGUCAGGAUUUCAGGGACUUUUAUUUUUCGAUUCCUAAUGAUGCGUGUGGGUGAAAAAGAUGAAGAAAAAUAAUGAAAAAAAGAAAGAAAAACGUAUAAAUGCCAUGAGCUAGUUAACCAACAGCACACCAGUGGUUUUUUCAUACUGUUGAGUCGUCAGACUGACAGCUGACGGUCCAUUAUUAUGUCCUGAGGAGUAAAAUAAUUCAUUUAAAUGUAAAUAUCCAAUGAAAAAAAAAAAAUAUGAUAGUCAUAUUAUUCCAAAUGGGCCAUUAUGUGAUCCUAUUAUCAUUUAACCAAAAAAUUUCAUAGAAACAUGAUUGAGUAUUUUUUUUAAAAAAGUAAAUAAUUAAUUAAUUAAAAUAAUAAUAAUAAAAAAUCAAGCAGCUAUUUGACAAUUUAUAUAACUUAUUGGUUAUUAUUGAACACGUCCACAAAAAAAAACUGCAUUAAUAUUUG